ACAGCGCUUCAAAAUAAAACGCCACUUCAAAAUAAAAGUCCCUUCAUAACAACACUACGCCACAAAAAAAAAACAUUUCAAUUACUUUUAAAUUUAGAUCUUUCUUUAAAUCGUGCAGGAACAACAGAUUCCGAGUAAGCAAUCCAGGUGCAUCUUGUUAAGACCGAUAAAUAUAAUUAACUUGCUCGUGUAAUUAAUUAGGACUAAUUACUAAUGAAUAUAAUUAAGAUCGACCGCUUCCGGAUUGACCGUUUUACAAACAAAACUAAAAAUGGCGUCAGUUACAGAAAACACAGAUGAAUCAAACACCCAAAUAAAAGAUAUUCCUGCAGAUCAGUGCCCUUCUGUGAGACAACUGGAGGCUCUUGAUGGGAAAAUCUCUGACAGACUAGAACAGAUCGAGCUCUGCACCAUGAUCCUGAAUGACCUGCUGGAAAUGCAGAAAAUAGUCGCUGUAGGUUUUUAAUAUUGUUUAUAGAUGUGCUUCUAAAAUGCUGUUUGCAGAGCUACUCAUUCAAAUGUUUAUUUUGGUAGGAAAGAUGCCUUGAAAAUGCAUCACUUUGAGGACUGGAUAACUGAACCGUUUCCUUUCAGUAUUAGAAAUCUACAAGUAUGCAUAUAUAAAUAAAAUCUUAUUGUGACAAUGUGAUAGAGCAAUUUCUUUCUGAAACAAGUCAAAUAAUGUAACAACUCGGACAGGAUUUUACUGGUAUUGUAUUGCUUUUUGAUUCAAAAAGUUAUUACUUUGCCAUAAUACUUUAUACAAAACAAGCAUAUGAGAAAUUUCACAUUAUACAUUCUUUAAAAAUACAGAUCUUUACAGUUUCCUCACACUUUGGGUAUCAAAAGCAGUCCUUGUGGAAGCAUUUGUUUCCUCUUUACCUCAAGCUUCUGCGACUCCACUAACAUGCCAGACCAACUUCUCCUGUCUAGUGUCCUUGAUGCUGCCUGAACCCGAAGAAAUCCAGAAUAAGGAAAAGCAAUAGUUUAUUAAGCUAGUUUGUUGCAUUAAAUCAUAAGUUAAUGCCUUAAAAAGUCCCAUGUGUGAAUGAAAACGUAAUGAUGAUGGCACCUGAUGAAGGUGGAAUAAUAAUAAUAAUUAAAAAAAAACAUUGUAGGCUGUCAGUCGAUCUUGAGCAAGAACACAACCAGAAGGGUUGACAGUCAAGCAAGUAGUUCUUUCACCAGUAUUUUUCCAACAAUAAAACAAAUGCAAGAUUUUCAUGUCAUGUGGGGGUCAAUAAAAAAAAAAAUACAUUGAAGCAGCAAUAAUUUUCAACAGGAAAAAUAUACAUAUACACAUAUAACAUUGCAAUGCCCAGAUACAAAACAAAACAGAUGAAGUCACACCAAACAUAACUGUACACAACAAACAUUGAGACUUAAGAAAAAAAAAAGGCUUUUAAAUUUGAAAUACUCAAUGCAAUAGGACACGGCUGUUUCUCUAAAUGAUGACUUGCAUACUAAAAUGACCACUGAAUGCUAACACGCACGAUAUUUUGCUUAUGAACAUGUACAGAUGGAGUGAUUUUAUGUUUUUUCUAUAUGCUCCAUGACAUUGCAUAGUUGCUUAUUUUUGUUAGGUGAUGAAUAAUAACUGCCUUCAAUCAAAAUGAAUAUUUCAUGUAAAGUAACUUGUCAAAACUAGAGUCCUAUGCGAAAUAUGCGAACAAAACAAGGCCGGAAAGCAUGUGCAUUAUUAUAAUUAUUAAGGUACGGUUGAUCAUUAUAUUGGCUGGACCCCAAAGUAAGUGCAUUUAUUAGGGAAAAACUGUGUCGUUCAGACAGAUCGCAUUAUAAUGUUCUAGUACUAGGUUUGCACAGGUCCCAUUAAUAGAUAUUUAAAAAGAAAAUGUAGUGGAUAAAUAACAAAGCAACUGAUUAACAUUUUGGGAGCGACGUACACAGAGCUACCAGCGCAAUGAAGCAUCACUGUCAGUUCACCGUUUAAUUUGGCACUGGAUAGGAAAAGACUCGCUCGGUAAUAUCUAUCCGAUUCAAAUUCUCCAUAUCUAGUCCAUGCUGAAAUGAAAUAACUAUCACGAGUUGUAAGGCAAUUCUUGUCCUACUUGAGUCUGAAACACAAGGAUCUGCGGAGAACUACAUACUGCAUAAGAGAUGCACAGGUGACAGUAAAGGCAGUGCAGAGUCACGUCUCUCAUCUCAUCUCACACCCAAAGUCUGAUUUCUCAUAGUUCUAUACAAAAAUACAAAUACAAUCUAAAGGCUUAAACAUUUAUCAUCUCAAAUGUACUAUGUAUUUACAUGACGGUCAUCUCUUUAGAACCUCUAUACAGCAGUGGUAUAUAAAUGAGGGGCAAACGAGCGGCGUUGAACCGUGGCUGGGUAGUGCACUACAAGCA
ensembl:lncRNA